CCUACGGGAGGCUGCAGUGGGGGAUAUUGCACAAUGGGGGGAACCCUGAUGCAGCGACGCCGCGUGGGUGAAGGAGCGUUUCGGCGCGUAAAGCCCUAUCGGCAGGGAAGAAAAUGACGGUACCUGACCAAGAAGCCCCGGCUAACUACGUGCCAGCAGCCGCGGUAAUACGUAGGGGGCAAGCGUUAUCCGGAUUUACUGGGUGUAAAGGGGGCGUAGACGGCAGUGCAAGCCAGGAGUGAAAGCCCGGGGCCCAACCCCGGAACUGCUCUUGAAACUGGAUGGCUGGAGUACAGGAGGGGUAGGCGGAAUUCGUAGUGUAGCGGUGAAAUGCGUAGAUAGUAGGAGGAACACCGGUGGCGAAGGCGGCCUACUGGACUGUGACUGACGUUGAGGCUCGAAAGCGUGGGGAGCAAACAGGAUUAGAUACCCCUGUAGUC
rnacentral:rRNA from 1 species